UGGGGAAUAUUGCACAAUGGGGGAAACCCUGAUGCAGCGACGCCGCGUGAGCGAAGAAGGCUUUCGAGUCGUAAAGCUCUGUCCUAUGAGAAGAUAAUGACGGUAUCAUAGGAGGAAGCCCUGGCUAAAUACGUGCCAGCAGCCGCGGUAAUACGUAUGGGGCGAGCGUUGUCCGGAAUUAUUGGGCGUAAAGGGUACGUAGGCGGUUUUUUAAGUCAGGGUCAAAGCGUGGAGCUUAACUCCAUUAAGCACUUGAAACUGAAAGACUUGAGUGAAGGAGAGGAAAGUGGAAUUCCUAGUGUAGCGGUGAAAUGCGUAGAUAUUAGGAGGAAUACCGGUGGCGAAGGCGACUUUCUGGACUUUUACUGACGCUCAGGUACGAAAGCGUGGGGAGCAAACAGG
rnacentral:rRNA from 1 species